rnacentral:miRNA from 1 species
AAUAUCCUUUCAACAAAUUAUGCGUAUUUAAGGAGAUAGGGCUGCGCAUGCGCAGAACGUAUCUCCUUACCUUUGCACUUUUUGGUAAGAAGAUGUUAACAAAAGUUGUUCGUCUUGAUGAGGGCUACAACUUUGCUUAAUAUCCUUUUAACAAAUUAUGCGUAUUUAAGGAGAUACGGCUGCGCAUGCGCAGAACGUAUCUCCUUAACUUUGCACUUUUUGGUAAGAAGAUGUU